UGAGGAAUAUUGGACAAUGGGCGCAAGCCUGAUCCAGCAAUGCCGCGUGCAGGAUGAAGGCCUUCGGGUUGUAAACUGCUUUUGUACGGAACGAAAAAGCUUCUCCUAAUACGAGAGGCCCAUGACGGUACCGUAAGAAUAAGCACCGGCUAACUACGUGCCAGCAGCCGCGGUAAUACGUAGGGCGCGAGCGUUAGUCGGAAUUACUGGGCGUAAAGCGUGCGCAGGCGGUUAUGUAAGACAGAUGUGAAAUCCCCGGGCUCAACCUGGGAACUGCAUUUGUGACUGCAUGGCUAGAGUACGGUAGAGGGGGAUGGAAUUCCGCGUGUAGCAGUGAAAUGCGUAGAUAUGCGGAGGAACACCGAUGGCGAAGGCAAUCCCCUGGACCUGUACUGACGCUCAUGCACGAAAGCGUGGGGAGCAAACA
rnacentral:rRNA from 1 species